UACGUAGGGGCCGAGCGUUGACCGGAGUUACUGGGCGUAAAGCGCGCGCAGGCGGCGGUCCAAGCCCGACGUGAAAGCCCCCGGCUCAACCGGGGAGGGUCGUCGGGGACGGGACCGCUUGAGGGCGGUAGGGGCUGGUGGAAUUCCCGGUGUAGUGGUGAAAUGCGCAGAGAUCGGGAGGAACACCGGUGGCGAAGGCGGCCAGCUGGGCCGACCCUGACGCUGAGGCGCGAGGGCGUGGGGAGCGAACGGG
rnacentral:rRNA from 1 species